rnacentral:rRNA from 1 species
UACCCUGGUAGUCCACCCCGUAAACGUUGGGAACUNGNNNNGGGGUCCAUUCCACGGAUUCCGUGACGCAGCUAACGCAUUAAGUUCCCCGCNUGGGGAGUACGGCCGCAAGGCUAAAACUCAAAGGAAUUGACGGGGACCCGCACAAGCGGCGGAGCAUGCGGAUUAAUUCGAUGCAACGCGAAGAACCUUACCAAGGCUUGACAUAUACGAGAACGGGCUAGAAAUAGUCAACUCUUUGGACACUCGUAAACAGGUGGUGCAUGGUUGUCGUCAGCUCGUGUCGUGAGAUGUUGGGUUAAGUCCCGCAACGAGCGCAACCCUCGUUCUAUGUUGCCAGCACGUAAUGGUGGGAACUCAUGGGAUACUGCCGGGGUCAACUCGGAGGAAGGUGGGGAUGACGUCAAAUCAUCAUGCCCCUUAUGUCUUGGGCUUCACGCAUGCUACAAUGGCCGGUACAAAGGGCUGCAAUACCGCGAGGUGGAGCGAAUCCCAAAAAGCCGGUCCCAGUUCGGAUUGAGGUCUGCAACUCGACCUCAUGAAGUCGGAGUCGCUAGUAAUCGCAGAUCAGCAACGCUGCGGUGAAUACGUUCCCGGGUCUUGUACACACCGCCCGUCAAGUCAUGAAAGUCGGUAACACC